AUCCAGCUGACGAGUCCAAAACAGGAUGAAACGCGGGUCCUGGAU
rfam:Schistosoma haematobium scaffold414_11, whole genome shotgun sequence.